ensembl:lncRNA
AUGGUUUUCAAUGAAGCGAAUGUAGUUUUGGGCUUUGGCUGGGAGGUCAUUCCACUUCCUGGCUGCAGAUGUGUCUGUCUUCCAACCAGGGAAAGUCUCAUACUCAACCUCCACUUUGUGCAAAACAUCCAUGUUGGCUGGAAAAUGGGGGAUUCUUUUGCCAUUAAGUUUGUACGCCACUCCAACUUUAAUUUCAUCCAGCACAUCCAGAAUGUCAAGUUUUGUCAAGGCAAUGCUGUUGGAAAUAUAAAAAAAACAACUUAUGCAUAUGAUAGUUCACCAUCGUAAGAUAAAACAAUCAGCAAUAAACAAUGAAAUAAUAAAAAAAUAUUUUUGAGCCACUCACGCUGUAAAGCCAUUAAUCAUAUGAGCGUAUCUGACAAUGACAAGAUCCAACCAGCCACAACGCCGCUUCCUUCCUGUAGUCACGCCAACCUCAUGACCCCUUGUCUGCAGCAGCUCACCAACCGCCUUUUAAAGAAGAAAGUAAGGUUUGACACUUAUUUAUACGCAUAUAGAUCUGAGGAUAAGAAACAAACAGCGGAGUAUAACAAAGUUCCUUGAAGGAGAGGAUUUAACAACUUGAAUCAUCCCCCCUCAGUUUCCGUGACAGGUAACUUAACCUCAGAUCAGACACUCUUUCCCUAAAUUUAACCCUGUGAGCAUGUGAGCUGCAAACAAGGGGAAGAGAGUUUGGACAUUGCUCUUGCACAAAAAAUGACAGCUGCACUAAGCUAGAAAACAACCUGAUAGUUAGUCACACGAUAACAAACUGUACUUGUCAGUGUUGAGGAAGCACAUGCCUCUUUACUGACCAGAAUAGCAAAAACAGCACGUGAUAGUUUAGCCUAAUGGCAAUUUAGAAGCAAUCUCAAGCACUUACAUUCAGUUGUUCUGUGGGGAAGGCUCCUAUUCCCACUCUAGUGGUGUAGGCCUUAGAUACACCAUACACAUCACCUAUAUUCAUGGGAGGGAUGCCGAGGCCAGUGCACGCUCCUCCCACGGUGCAGUUUGAUGAUGUCACAAAAGGGUAUGUGCCUGAAUGGGAGCAUUUAUUACAACACCCAAUUUCCAUUUAAAAAUGUACUGUCAUGAAUGCAAUAAAAACAAAUGAUGCUAAUAAAAACAUACCAAAGUCAAUGUCAAGCAGAGCAGCAUUUGCCCCCUCCACCAGGAUUUUCUUUGGAGGCCCGUGAAGAGCUUCGUACAUGUAAUAGACCCCAUCUCUGACCAUUGGGCGCAAUCUCUCUGCAUAUUCCUGCCGAAAUGAGAGCUUAGUCAAAGCAGCUUGUGGUAGCGGUUCAGCAAUGUAACCUAGCAACUACCUUCAGUUUUUUCAGCUGCUCCUCAACAUCAGCUGUCAAGGACGGAUACAUGGACUGAUACUGAUGAACCAGAUUCUUAAAUCUGGAAGGAUUUUUUGAAAAUAAAAUCUUAUUUCUUCUUGUAAAGGGGAAUAGAUUUGACUCCUUUUAACAAUAAAGUUAAAUAACAUCACUAAACACCUUGUAGAAAAGUCCUUGAAGUCCCCCAGAAGGUCACACACACGCAGUCCAGUCCGAGAUGCUUUGCUUGAAUAUGCCGGACCAAUUCCUUUUUUGGUUGUUCCAAUGCUGUAAUGGGACAUCUUGCAUGAGAUCCAGGAAGAUUCGAAGAGAUUUUAGGUUUAUUGUUGUAUUUCUUUCUUACUUUUUCCCUUCUUGUGCUUGUCUCUCCGUCUCCUGUAAGCCAUCGACGACUUGAUGAAAAUCAAACACUGUGGAGAAGCCAUCACACUCCUUAAAAUCUUGACUUCAAAAGCUUCAGUAAAAUUAAAUAAAGCCAAUAUCUAUUCACAAACCAAGAUGGGCUCUGUCUGAAACGAUGAGUCGCUUUUCCCAGCCUUUCAGACCUGCAGAAAAAUGAGGCGACACACCUGGAUGAGCACUCACGCUCUACCAUUCAUAUACUUUUAUGCUGAAAUACCUUUUUUCUCAUUUUUAUCUCCUUCUUCAAACAAUCCGGGGAGAUGUAUGACCACUCCAUUACCUGGAGGAGCAAAUCAAGAGUCAAGAGGAGUUUCAUUGGGUCUCCUUAAAGACUCAAGUUGGAGGCUUUUACCAAUCAGAGAUACACUUUUGGAGUUAAUAAUUCCACUGGGUAGAAGGUGAAAAUCAUACUCCUUUCCGUCCACAACCACAGUGUGCCCUGCAUUGUUGCCACCCUGUAUAUCAAAGAAGUAGAUCACCUCAGAAGAUGCUGCAACAUGAAGUGAUUGUUAAGGAUAUUAAGCCUUUCCCUUUUCUUCCUGGUUUGACCCUUCACUGCACCUAUUUAAACAGACUUGGCUAAGCCCCCCACCCCGGCUAAUGCCUGGCCUUCUCACAUAUCAACCCUGAGAAUGUGACCUCUCCAGCCGGGUGGGCGGGGCUUUUGAGCCUCCAGAACACAGGGUGCUCGUCCUCUCAGCAUACAACACAACUGUUUGACAGGUUGCAGUGUUUCUUACCUCUUUAGUCUUGUGUGUCACAAACAGACCGGGUAUUUUUUUCAUUUUCAUUUUAACUCUUUUUUUUUUUAAGUCUGCUUUUCAGCUGAAGCAGUCAGAGCAACUCUAAACUGGGUGAACAAAAAAGUCAUGACAUUUGACAUAUAGGGAAUGCCAGACAUGUUUUGGGGGUCUCCAAAGCAAAAGCCCAACACAUGAGUCGCAAUCUAAACAAACAAUACAACAUUAAGGUGCAAUCACGUUUAAAUGUUUCACAUUUAAAAGGAUUUUUAAGUGAUUUAGGCUUGGACACCUGUUGUGCCAAAUUAGAACCCCGAUGCGCAUUUUCUUCACAUUUAUGCAAAAACCGUUAUACAUUUAGACUGAAA